AUUGUAUGGUUUUAUUGAUAACAUGUUUGGAAAAAUGGUAUGGUACACCAUGAUUUAAUAAUCAAAAAAAACCAUACAAUAUCAUACAAUACAGUACGAUAUGAUAUAUUAAUAAAUCACGCUACACUCAAUCCAAAUAGGGUAAAGGAAUUUAACUUGAAAAUUAUCUUAUUUCAUUAAUACUUUUCCUUGGCUUCCACAGACCACUGGAUAGUAUUCCACGUACAAAACCUUGACAUGGU
rnacentral:misc_RNA from 1 species